GGAAGAUGUGCAUAGGGCAAAGCAUGUAGAAAGGGGCAUGGAGCUUCCAUGCCCUCUCUUAGCUUACUACCCUCUAGGAAUCACCAUAGGCUAAGCUAUCUAGAACUGUCUUAUUUGACUUUUGUGGAGCCUUAAUUACAUACACAUGACUGAUGAAAUCAUGGACCUUAAGUGUUCAAUUUAAUCUUGAGCCUCUCUCCCUUACCCAGAGGUGCAAGGGGUGUGGAACAGAAAGUUUCUACUCUCUAAUCAGGCCUUGUUUUUUUUCUGGGGACCAGUCUUCAAUCUGAAGCUAUCCAUAGAUUGCCAACCAUCAGUCAGCUCACUAGUAUACAAAACAAACAAACAAACAAACAAGAAUCUUAAUACUUUGAAGAUUCCAUGGAGUUGUAUUAGCAUGCUAGAUGAAACCAAAUACAUAGUCCACAAUAUUGUACCUUUGAUUUUUAUGAUUUGGAUACUUCCCUCCCUCACUUUGUAUUCCCUGGCUUGCCUAAUCCAAUGUCUUGAACAUACUGAAUAUAUGUUUAUGAUAGAAAUAUUUAGUUGAAUGGUUCUCAACAAUUUUAGUUCAGAGCCCCUAUUUAAAAACCAACCCAGUUGUUCCACAUUUCCCAGACACUGGAAGCUCUCCUCUCCCUCCUCAUCUCCACCACUUCUCAAGCCACGAAGCCUUUGUUAACAACUUCUGAUUUACUGCAGACUCAGAAUAACAUGGCAAAGCUGAAGCCCACAGAGGGCAAACACCUCAUCCCAAGCUAAUGUAAAAGGUAGGACUGAUGCAAUAUCCAGGCCAGAGGUUUUUCUAUGUGGAUGAUUUAAUCAUGAUCAUAAGCAUGCACUCCUGGUAUCUACAAAUGGGGAGACAAACAAGGAAACGUCAUUCACUCCAGCCAAUGACCAGUACACUUGGGAGUGUUGCUGGUGUUGACAGGGCUAAGUACCACUCUGCUUUACAACAGAGAAGUAGGAAAUUGAUUACAACCCCAAAACUUUCAUUAUUUCUGCAUCUCUAUUUCAGUCAAAGUUUUUGGAAAUCAAGAGGAUAAUGACCCCAGAGAACCUUUAUUUUCUUCAGAAGACUUUGAAGAUCAAACACCGGCCUAGCUGGAUUUUUAUCCUGUAGAAGGUGUGAGGCAGUCAUUAAUCUCAGAGUUGUAGAGUGGAGAAACUUGUAUGCUUUUAUGUCUUAGGUACUAACUUAUGUUCACUUACUUUGGAGGUGACUGUGGAACUCUGAAUGCCUAGUUUCUCCAUAUAAAUGUGAUAAAGGUCAGUUCUCUAGAAGCAAUCACAUUUCAAGAUGCACUGAGUCUUUCAGGUGAACAAGCCUCAUAGAUCCACUUAAAGAUAAAUGCUCCUUCUCCUGUCUCAAAGGUUAGAGAAGGCCACGCUGUACUCUGCUGUUUUUCAGCCAGUGGCAAGAUUGAAUUCACCCUUCUUCCUUAAGAUGACAUAUCAGAUGGCCCCUGAUUCCAGCCAUCGCCAGUGCAAAACAGAGACAAAAUUGUACUUGUAUCCCUUUCCUGCCUUUGACCUGAAGACUCAGAAAACGUUUUUUUUUUCCCUAUGUACUUCAAACAGUCUUCCAAAACAUUACCAAACUCAGAUUUGAUAAAAACAGGGUGGUUUUGUAACAACUUAUAUCUUGGUUUUAAC
rnacentral:lncRNA from 1 species